UUACAGGAAAGUUGCUUACCAAGUGGAUCAUGGGACAUGGUCUGAAAAAACUGGAUAUGAUUUUCCAGCUUUGCCACGUCAGACAAGAGGGAAUGAUUGUGGUGUUUUUGUACUCAUGUACACCCUCUCAAUGGUGU